UCCAUAAAAUAAUUUUAACAAAUAUAAUCGUGGACUCGAUUCCGAUUCGAUCCUAUCAUCACCGGAAAAGAUCAGAGGGUUAGGGUUUCGGAGGUCGCGGACUCGCAGAGGGCGAAAAUGGGGAGGGGGAAGGUGCAGCUGAAGCGAAUUGAGGACAAGAUCAGCCGGCAAGUGACGUUCUCGAAGCGGAAGAGCGGGCUGAUGAAGAAGGCUAACGAGCUCGCCGUGCUCUGCGACGUGGAGGUAGCGCUCCUGAUCUUCUCCGACCGAGGCAGGCUCUACGAGUUCUGUAGUGCAGAGAGUCUAGAAGAAAUUCUUGAGCGUUACAGGAUACACGUAGCUGAAGAAGCUGCUGUCCGCAAGAGAGCUGAAGAAGAAAAGCUCAAGACCGAUCUAUCGACACUCGAGACUGAUCCAUCGGUACUCGUCAGAAUGCAGAAAUUUGAGAACGAAGGAACCGGAGCGUUUGAAGGAGAGUUUGAGGAGAAUAUUACGACCAAUCUUGACGUAGGGGAUCGCAAUGACAAACAAUCACAAGAAUUACAACUCUUUCCAAAAUCGAUAACAAAUCAUGGAAUUGAGCAGAAUCUUGCUGACUGUCCUGAUCUUCAGACAAGUGCUAACCCACUGCAAAUGAUUCAAAGGCAUCUUGAUGCACAAAACAUGGAACAGAAAAACAUAACAGAGCUUACACAACUAGAGACAGAACUGGAUGCCAUAUUAAGCGAAAUCAGAUUCAGAAAGACACAGCUAAUGAUGGAAGCUGUGAAAGCAGUCGAUGAAGAGGCACCUUUGAAAAGAAAAACAUGACAGAGCUCACACAACUAGAGAGAGAACUGGAUGACGUAUUAAUACAAAUCAGAUUCAGACAGGUACCUUAACCAACUGCAAGUGUGCGUGCAGUGCAUUCAUGGUCUUCAGAGGAUGUCACCAUAUAGAGAAAUAUGACUGGGCAUGGGCAAUGCCUGCCUUAAGCUACUUAAAGCCAUUUCAAUAUUAACCAAUGGUCUUUGGAUCUAAUGGCAUCUCCUCUUCCCAUUAAGAAGGCUGGAAAAGAGGGGGAAAGAAAGAGAAGAAGAAGAAAAAGAAUAUCUUCAUAGUUUCUUGCAAGCCAGCAGGUAAACAGGACUAAUUUCUUCUUUUAUGUAUUAGUAUUUUCAUUGAAUAUGAUUUAUGCAACCUAGGGACUUGGUAAAUUUUUUUUUUUUUUUUUGUGGGUGGUGGGGGGGAAGUCUCCUUGAAACUAACAUAAAAGUGUUGGUUACUAAACUUGAUUUAGUAAUAUUAAUAUCCAUUUGUAAUUUAUUUGGUCUAAAAGGAAAGGGAAUAAGGGAAUAAUUGUUAUGAAAGUUACAUGAGAUUUUUCAUACAUAUGAUGUACACGAGGGAUUUGAAUACUGGAAGACUAGAAGCAUCCAUUUUAGCUUUUAAAACCCUAUUUACUCUAAUUAUUAUUCUCAAGCGAGUGGAAUUAAAAAUUAUAUUCGUGUGUUUAUCCUUUUCUCCAUUUAUCUUUCUUAGAAUAUUGAUUGUGUUCUAGCCCGCUUGAUUUCCAACACACAGUUCCUCUAAGUUUUCAACUUGAGUGCCAUCAGAAAUGAAGAGUCACUGGAUCUAAGUCCUAUACAUUUAAAAUCUUCUUAAUUGACAAAAGGAAGAAGAAAAGGUACAGAUUUUCACUGAUGUUCUAAGAGGUUGGCCAAAGGACUGCAUAUCAAAAGUCAAAAGCAGCAUACUAAUUCAGGAAAUGGUAGCUAAUGACCUCCUUUUACAGGGAAGUGUGAAUAUUCAAUGAAAAUACUUGUACAGAAAAGAAGAAAUUGGUACUGUUUACCUGCUCGCUUGCAAGAACCCAUUAAGAUAUUCUUUUUCUUCUUCUUCUCUUUCUUUCCCCCUCUUUUCCAGACUUCUUAAUGGGAAGAGGAGAUGCCAUUAGAUCCAAAGACCAUUGGCAACAAAAUUACACAGUUUAUAGAGCCAUGACUUGUGGGAAUUGCUCUGCAAUUUUAUAAGUAUCCAAGUAGAUGGCAUAAACAAUGCGUAGGCGCAGGACUCUUGGCUAUCCGAUAAGCUGGGAAGAAACGGGCUUGAUAUUUUGGAUAUAUAUAUCUUUUCCUUUGGAUAUUUUGGAUAUAUCUUCUUCUCUGUUCUUGGUGAACCGACACAUUCGGAUAUUUUGGAUAUAAAUCUUCUCCUCUGUUCUUGGUGACUGAACCGACACAUUCGGAUAUUUUGGAUAUGUCUUCUCCUCUGUUCUUCUCGACUGAACCAACGCAAUUGGAUAUUGAGAUAGAAUAAUGAUUUUUGCAUGACUCUUACUUAACUCUGGUACAAUUUUAACUAAUUUUUUUUUUUUUUUUUAUGAUUAAUUAUUGAAUUUCUUUUCUUACAUGUAGGCCCUAAAUUUUUAAGGAAAAUGAUUUCUUUCCGAUAACUCGGAUGGAAUAAUGAUUUCUGCACAACAAUUGUACACAGUGUACAACAAAGCUGAUGUGGAAAUGAUUUUCGCUUUUUUUUUUUCUUUUUUUUUUUUUUUCGUGAAAGUGGAAAAAAGAAAGUGUGUACAAUUAUUGUGAUAAUCAUUUUCACAUCAGUUUUGUUAUACAAAGUGUGUAUAAUUGUUGUUCUGGAAACAUUACUCUUUGGAUGUAUCUUCUCCCUUGUUCUUGGUGACAAAAAGGGGAAAUUUUUUUGGGGAUAUUAGUUAGUUAAUCAUUUCUUUCUAACGUGUUAGAAUGAAUAUUAUUCGUGUUUGGUUUAUCUACUAAUAGAUCGGGAUUUAUUUCUAAUUUUGAUUGACUUUGUUCAUUUUAGCGUAUAUAUUAUGAAUGAUAGGAUGGAUUGAUGUGAUUCGUGAUUCAUAUUAUGGUGUAUCUGAAUGGUACCGUCCGUCUGUCAAGUUGUUUUGUGAUAUUGAAACUCUAAUGCAUGCUUCUGAAAUUAAUUUUCUUGCUGUUUCAAUACUUGCCAAUUCCCCAUGCGCGUAAUGUGUUUGUUCAGUGAUUUCAGGAACUAUGCCCAAGAUCAUUUUUGGCCCUCAUUUUGUAGUUUGAUAGGUUGGAUUAUGUCUCGGGGGAUUUUGUAAUCAUAUACGUGUCUGUAAUGGUUUUUAUCACCGAAUGGCUGAACGGGGAGUUUGUUAGGAUUUUAGUUAGCUCGUUUGGUGUCCAAGAUAUAUGGCUUUUGUUUUUUAGGGCAUUGGUAGUUUUUGUACUUGGUUGAAGAAGUGAAAGAUUUCUCAAAGAAGACAAGUACUCAAGCUAAUGUCCGAACAUGGAAGUGACAGAAGGUUAUGUAA